AACACAGGUCCCAGUACGAUCACCGAAGUUAAGCAACGCCGAGCCUUAAUACAGUACCUGGAUGGGUGACCGCUUGGGAAUACUAGGUGCUGUAA